UUGUUACAUGGCACCUGACUACUUUAUUACAUUUCUAGUGGCGGACGGGUGAGUAACACGUUGGAACUGCCCCAAAGUGAGAUAGCCACCGAAAGGUGGUCUAAUACUUCAUAAUAUCCAUCUCGUAUGGAUUAAAGCUUUAUGCGCUUUGGGAGGGGCCUGCGUAACAUUAGCUAGUUGGUGAGGUAAAAGCUCACCAAGGCUUCGAUGUUUAACUGGUUUGAGAGGAUGACCAGUCACACUGGGACUGAGAUACGGCCCAGACUCCUACGGGAGGCAGCAGUAAGGAAUCUUCCACAAUGGGGGCAACCCUGAUGGAGCAAUACCGCGUGCAGGAUGAAGCGUUUCGGCGUGUAAACUGCUUUUAUCACCGAAGAUUAUGACUGUAGGUGAAGAAUAAGGACCGGCUAACUACGUG
rnacentral:rRNA from 1 species